AUACGGAGGGUGCAUGCGUUACUCGGAAUCACUGGGCGUAAAGCGCGCGCAGGCGGGCUGAUAAGUUGGAUGUGAAAGCCUACGGCUCAACCGUAGAACUGCAUCCAAAACUGUCAGGCUAGAGUGUGGGAGAGGAAGAUGGAAUUAGUUGUGUAGGGGUAAAAUCCGUAGAGAUAACUAGGAAUACCAAAAGCGAAGGCAAUCUUCUGGAACACUACUGACGCUGAGGCGCGAAGGCGUGGGGAGCAAACAGGAUUAGAUACCCCAGUAGUCC
rnacentral:rRNA from 1 species